rnacentral:rRNA from 1 species
UACGGAGGGUGCAAGCGUUAAUCGGAAUUACUGGGCGUAAAGCGCACGCAGGCGGUCUGUCAAGUCGGAUGUGAAAUCCCCGGGCUCAACCUGGGAACUGCAUUCGAAACUGGCAGGCUAGGGUCUUGUAGAGGGGGGUAGAAUUCCAGGUGUAGCGGUGAAAUGCGUAGAGAUCUGGAGGAAUACCGGUGGCGAAGGCGGCCCCCUGGACAAAGACUGACGCUCAGGUGCGAAAGCUAGGGGAGCAAACAGG